AUUGAACGCUGGCGGCAGGCUUAACACAUGCAAGUCGAACUAGUUUCGGACCGGUGUCUUUUGCUUGCGAAUCUUGCUUAUUGAGCGGGGUAACUACGGGAAACUGUAUCUAAUACCGCCUUCCAUCGUAUGAGCCCAAGUGGGAUUAGGUAGUUGGUGAGGUAAAGGCUCACCAAGCCGACGAUCUCUAGCUGGUCUGAGAGGAUGACCAGCCACACUGGGACUGAGACACGGCCCAGACUCCUACGGGAGGCAGCAGUGGGGAAUAUUGCGCAAUGGGGGCAACCUGACGCAGCCAUGCCGCGUGAAUGAAGAAGGCCUUCGGGUUGUAAAGUUCUUUCGGUAGCGAGGCGUUAACUACAGAAGAAGCACCGGCUAACUCCGUGCCAGCCGCCGCGGUAAUUG
rnacentral:rRNA from 1 species